rnacentral:rRNA from 1 species
ACUCAAAGGAAUUGACGGGGGCCCGCACAAGCAGCGGAGCGUGUGGUUUAAUUCGAUGCGACGCGAAGAACCUUACCAGGGCUUGACAUCCCGUGCUCAGGCGGGGAAACCCGCCGCCCGCGAGGGGAACGGGACAGGUGCUGCAUGGCUGUCGUCAGCUCGUGCCGUGAGGUGUUGGGUUAAGUCCCGCAACGAGCGCAACCCCCGCCGCUAGUUGGUUCUCUAGCGGGACGGCCGGGACCAACCCGGAGGAAGGUGGGGACGACGUCAAGUCAGCACGGCCCUGACGCCCUGGGCGACACACACGCUACAAUGGCCGGUACAGCGGGCGUCGCGAAGCCGCGAGGCGGAGCCAAUCCCUGCAAAGCCGGCCCCAGUACGGAUCGGGGGCUGCAACCCGCCCCCGUGAAGGCGGAGUUGCUAGUAACCGCGGGUCAGCACACCGCGGUGAAUACGUUCUCGGGCCUUGUACACACCGCCCGU